rfam:Myotis brandtii contig267065, whole genome shotgun sequence.
GAUGGUUCUCAAGUGACACACCCCAGAAUCGGGCUCCCUCCUCUCUGGUUCCGGGGGGCAUCACCUGACAACUGCC